rnacentral:rRNA from 1 species
GUUGAACGCUGGCGGCAUGCCUUACACAUGCAAGUCGAACGGCAGCACGGGAGCAAUCCUGGUGGCGAGUGGCGAACGGGUGAGUAAUAUAUCGGAACGUGCCCAGUCGUGGGGGAUAACGUAGCGAAAGCUACGCUAAUACCGCAUACGAUCUAUGGAUGAAAGCGGGGGAUCGCAAGACCUCGCGCGAUUGGAGCGGCCGAUAUCAGAUUAGGUAGUUGGUGAGGUAAAGGCUCACCAAGCCGACGAUCUGUAGCUGGUCUGAGAGGACGACCAGCCACACUGGGACUGAGACACGGCCCAGACUCCUACGGGAGGCGGCAGUGGGGAAUUGUGGACAAUGGGCGCAAGCCUGAUCCAGCAAUGCCGCGUGCAGGAUGAAGGCCCUCGGGUUGUAAACUGCUUUUGUACGGAACGAAACGGCGAGCUCUAAUACAGUUUGCUAAUGACGGUACCGUAAGAAUAAGCACCGGCUAACUACGUGCCAGCAGCCGCCGUAA